rnacentral:lncRNA from 1 species
CUUUGGGGUCCUUGUUUCCUUUUAGAGAAAGAAUGUGUCCGUGUUGAAUCUGGAAUAAAUUGCAGUAUGAUCCAUACUGCAAUUUUCAGACAGACGAUCGACCUCAAUUGAAAUGACACUAGUGCCUGAAGGAGAUGGUUUUUCCUUGGAGUGCCUGGCUAAAGAGAAAGGAAAGCCGAGGCAGAGAACACUUCAGAGCUAAUUGCCCUAAUCCGAACGCUGCAUGAGAAGUGCUGUGCCAAAGCCAAGUGCUUGCCGGGUGGCCUGCUUCGCUGCGGGGAGCUGCUGGCUGCAUGGGGGUGGCCAGCAGCCGGACCACUUGCCAGGCUCUGCAGAAAUGCAGUACUCCUAGACUUCCUCUGGCCGCCCUGCGAGACUGUCCGUUCCCAAAUAAGUGUUUCUCAGAAAGAGAGAGCCAGCACCACGUAACCAGACAGCUGUAAACCUUCAACUGCAGGCCACUGACAGGAAUCUAUAGACCAUCAGUUUGGGAAUCCUCUGCUUUAGACCUUUAAAUGUGUCAACAUUUAUGUAAGUCAGAUACAGUCUUCAAUAACAAGUAAAAUGAUAUUAUGUAGCUAAACAAUUUUUUACCAUGUUCGUGUCACUGUAAUGCUAAGAGGUUCAGACAUUGUACGAAAUGUUUACUAAUGGAAAUUUUAUGUCUCUAAUAGCUAGGUAAUAAAAAUUGAAAGUAUAUAUGAGCUAUAAAUUU